GAUGAACGCUGACAGAAUGCUUAACACAUGCAAGUCUACUUGAACUUCGGUUUGGGUGGCGGACGGGUGAGUAACGCGUAAAGAACUUGCCUCACAGAUAGGGACAACAUUUGGAAACGAAUGCUAAUACCUGAUAUUAUGAUUUUAGGGCAUCCUAGAAUUAUGAAAGCUAUAUGCACUGUGAGAGAGCUUUGCGUCCCAUUAGCUAGUUGGAGAGGUAACGGCUCACCAAGGCGAUGAUGGGUAGCCGGCCUGAGAGGGUGAUCGGCCACAAGGGGACUGAGACACGGCCCUUACUCCUACGGGAGGCAGCAGUGGGGAAUCUUGGACAAUGGACCAAGAGUCUGAUCCAGCAAUUCUGUGUGCACGAUGAAGUUUUUCGGAAUGUAAAGUGCUUUCAGUUGGGAAGAAAAAAAUGACGGUACCAACAGAAGAAGUGACGGCUAACUACGUG
rnacentral:rRNA from 1 species